rnacentral:rRNA from 1 species
CAAUAGCGUAUAUUAAAGUUGUUGCAGUUAAAAAGCUCGUAGUUGGAUUUGUGGCGUACGGUGUGUUCCGGGCACUUGUUGUCUGAGUAACCUGCUGUUGCCAUCCUUGGGUGGAACCUGUGUGGCAUUAGGUUGUCGUGCAGGGGAUGCCCAUCAUUUACUGUGAAAAAAUUAGAGUGUUCAAAGCAGGCUUAUGCCGUUGAAUAUAUUAGCAUGGAAUAAUGAGAUAGGACUUUUUUGCUAUUUUGUUGGUUUGCGCAAAGAGGUAAUGAUUAAUAGGGACAGUUGGGGGUAUUCGUGUUCCAUUGUCAGAGGUGAAAUUCUUGGAUUUUUGGAAGACGAACUACUGCGAAAGCAUUUACCAAGGAUGUUUUCAUUAA